rnacentral:rRNA from 1 species
CCUACGGGAGGCAGCAGUGGGGGAUAUUGCACAAUGGGGGGAACCCUGAUGCAGCGACGCCGCGUGGGGGAAGAAGCGCCUCGGCGCGUAAAGCCCUGUCAGCAGGGAAGAAAAUGACGGUACCUGAAGAAGAAGCCCCGGCUAACUACGUGCCAGCAGCCGCGUUAAUACGUAGGGGGCAAGCGUUAUCCGGAUUUACUGGGUGUAAGGGGGGCGCAGACGGGGAUGCAAGCCAGGUGUGAAAGCCCGGGGCCCAACCCCGGGACUGCUGUUGGAACUGCGUGGCUGGAGUGCAGGAGGGGAUGGCGGAAUUCCUGGUGUAGCGGUGAAAUGCGUAGAUAUCAGGAGGAACACCGGUGGCGAAGGCG